AUUGAACGCUGGCGGCAGGCCUAACACAUGCAAGUCGAACGGUAACAGGAAGCAGCUUGCUGCUUUGCUGACGAGUGGCGGACGGGUGAGUAAUGUCUGGGAAACUGCCUGAUGGAGGGGGAUAACUACUGGAAACGGUAGCUAGUACCGCAUAACGUCGCAAGACCAAAGAGGGGGACCUUCGGGCCUCUUGCCAUCGGAUGUGCCCAGAUGGGAUUAGCUAGUAGGUGGGGUAACGGCUCACCUCGGCGACGAUCCCUAGCUGGUCUGAGAGGAUGACCAGCCACACUGGAACUGAGACACGGUCCAGACUCCUACGGGAGGCAGCAGUGGGGAAUAUUGCACAAUGGGCGGAAGCCUGAUGCAGCCAUGCCGCGUGGAUGAAGAAGGCCUUCGGGUUGUAAAGUACUUUCAGCGGGGAGGAAGGGAGUAAAGUUAAUACCUUUGCUCAUUGACGUUACCCGCAGAAGAAGCACCGGCUAACUCCGUG
rnacentral:rRNA from 1 species